GCACCCGUAGCUCAGCUGGAUAGAGCGCUGCCCUCCGAAGGCGGUAGUCAAGUCCAGCGAAGGCUGUAGAUGCU
rnacentral:tRNA from 1 species